UGCGAAUCGUUCAGAUGUGA
rnacentral:siRNA from 1 species